rnacentral:lncRNA from 1 species
GUGGUUCUUAACCUGGAGUCCUCAAACGGGGGGCCCGGCCGAUCCACUGGGGGCCCCGGCCCGGCCGAUCCACUGGGGGGAGGGGUACCCCAGUGGGAUCAGUCACACACUUCAAAGUGUACACUAUAUUAACGUUAGGGACCAGUCACACACUUCAAAGUGUACAGUAUUUUAAUGAUCGGAUAAAUCAGGCGUACAUCAAGUAUACAACAGAAUACUAACAGAUCUAGAAUCAGAGAGAAGACAUGAUCAGUUUCUACAUUACCCCCCCAGACGGAUCACAUCGACAUGAUCCGUUUCUACAUUACCCCCCCAGAGGGAUCACAUCAACAUGAUCAGUUUCUACAUUACCCCCCCAGACGGAUCACAUUGACAUGAUCAGUUUUCAGGCAUGUUUCACGGUUAGUAAAGAGAGAAAGAGAGAACAGGGGCACGGGAGAGAAAACAGGGGCGCGGGAGAGAAAACAGGGGCGCGGGAGAGAAAACAGGGGCGCGGGAGAGAAAACAGGGGCGCGGGAGAGAAAACAGGGGCGCGGGAGAGAAAACAGGGGCGCGGGAGAGAAAACAGGGGCGCGGGAGAGAAAACAGGGGCGCGGGAGAGAAAACAGGGGCACGGGAGAGAAAACAGGGGCGUGGGAGAGAGAACAGGGGCGCGGGAGAGAGAACAGGGGCUCGGGAGAGAGAACAGGGGCGCGGGAGAGAGAACAGGGGCACGGGAGAGAGAACAGGGGCACGGGAGAGAGAACAGGGGCACGGGAGAGAGAACAGGGGCACGGGAGAGAGAACAGGGGCACGGGAGAGAGAACAGGGGCACGGUAGGCAUCUCUCUCAUUUCACACCGUCUCCUUAACGACGGACAUGUUUCAGUACGAUACAGUUAAUUUCAAACCGUUGACAGAAGCGCUGCGUCGUGGUCCUGAACACAGCCUACCAUCAUCAUCAUCAUCCUCAUCAUCAUCAUGGCACUAAAACCAGAGCAGCAGAGUCGUGGUCCUGAACAGAGCCGAGUCGUAGCAAGCAAAGCCCAGGGAUCACCGUCCGUUCUUAAAAACACUGACGUCGCCUUUUCGCGACGUAAACAAGAGUUUCUAUUUGACAACACUUCAGGCAGGUCCCGUUCCAGAUGCUUCCGGUUGGUUCCUAGUGAAUCCAUCCUUGUUCCACUGCGGUCCAGUCCUCCACCGGGUCAGUAACGGUCCAGUCCCCCGGGGUCGGUAACGGUCCAGUCCCCCCGGGUCGGUAACGGUCCAGUCCCCCGGGUCGGUAACGGUCCAGUCAAUAACGGUCCAGUCAGUAACGGUCCAGUCCUCCACCGGGUCAGUAACGGUCCAGUCAAUAACGGUCCAGUCCUCCACCGGGUCGGUAACGGUCCAGUCAAUAACGGUCCAGUCCCCCCCGGGGUCGGUAACGGUCCAGUCCCCCCCGGGGUCGGUAACGGUCCAGUCAGUAACGGUCCAGUCAGUAACGGUCCAGUCAGUAACGGUCCAGUCUCCCCCGGGUCAGUAACGGUCCAGUCAGUAACGGUCCAGUCUCCCCCGGGUCAGUAACGGUCCAGUCUCCCCCGGGUCAGUAACGGGUCAGUAAUGGCACUUCUCAGGGUUGGUCCAACAGCCUGGGUCUGAAUCUUAACAGCUGUUAGCCUGCUGAACUGAAGCCAAGGCAUUAACUUGGGGGAGCUAACAAGUCUUCAGUAAACAGUCCUGGAAUUAUCCCAAAGCAGGAGAGGGGCUGGUGUAGUCAGUGGGCAGAGCUAAGGUACGGCAGCUCCACCCAUAAUGCACUGGGCUAAGGUCACAGAGGUCGUGACCACUUCUGACCCUGCCCACAUCAGGGGUUAAAGUUCAUAUAGCAGAGAUAUUAAAAAAAAAAAACAGUCAUGAUCCUGAAGGAUGAUGAAACACAAUCAGUGUGUGUGUGUGUGUGUGUGUGUGUGUGUGUGUGGUGGGGGUCAGAGUUCAUAUGGUCCGUUUGACACAGGGUCGUCCACUGAGGUGGGAACAUAUGGCUGCUCAACCAAUCAGCAUCCUCUAACAUGUCCACACCUAGACACAGAAAGAGAGAGAGAGGAGGAGAGACAAGCGAGACACAAGAAAGAGAGAGCGAAAGACAGAGAGAGAGAGAAAACACAGUGAGGGAUAUUGGAAUGGAUUGCCUGACUGACUAACCCUUCCACUACAAUUUUCACGGCCCCAAAAAUCCAGAGUGGCGUCGCAGUGUCAGAGGCGUCACUACAGACCCUGGUUCGAUCCCGGGCUCUAUCACAACCGGCCGUGAUAGGGCGGCGCACAAUUGGCCCAGCGUCGUCCGGGUUGGGGGGGGAGGGGCACCUGCAGGCUGACCAGUUAAACGGUGUUUCCGCCGACACAGCAACCUUCCCACUAGCCAUGAUUGGCUGAGAUAAUGAGUGGGCUGGACAUGCCGAGAGAGUAGUAGUUCGGAUUGGUCCUGCCAUAUAGAAGGCUUCUCUAUCUAUUCGAGCUCGUCAGUCUGUCUUGGUAAUGUAGUAGAGCUGCGUAAGUGUUGCUCUCCACUUUCUGGAGGAUCAAGUUUUGAAAAAUCUGUGGAAAUUAGAGUCUGAUAGCUAAGGAGAUGGAGGAAACACCUGUCUCCGGGAUUACAUCUUCAAAACUAAGGGCAACCGUGGCGUGGCAUCCGUGACAGGGAGAGGCGUCCAUCAUGGAUCAUGGAUGUAUACGGGUAAGAUAGCUUGUUACAUUUUCAGAUAUUACACGUUUUCUAAUUUUGACAGAAUGGGGUUUUCAUUUCAAGCUAAAGUGCACCGUUAGCUAGCUAGCUACGGGUCUGAAGCUAAAGUGCACUGUUAGCUAGCUAGCUAACGUUAGCCGGCUGGCUCAUUAGCUAACGUUAGCCGGCUGGCUCAUUAGCUAACGUUAGCCGGCUGGCUCAUUAGC